GUAUGGGUCACCGCAAGGUUUCUGGGCAUUUCGCACCAGACAAACACGAGCGUGGCCCGCCCCCGCGAGCCACCACCGGCAACGCCGGAAGCAACCACCCGCCGGUCAUGGACCGGC
rfam:Pseudomonas putida CSV86 contig00034, whole genome shotgun sequence.